CUGCUGCCUCCCGUAGGAGUCUGGUCCGUGUCUCAGUACCAGUGUGGGGGACCUUCCUCUCAGAACCCCUACGCAUCGUCGCCUUGGUGGGCCGUUACCCCGCCAACUAGCUAAUGCGACGCAUGACCAUCCGUAGCCGGAAUCGCUUCCUUUAAACCCGAGGAGAUGCCUCCUCGGGUUGUUACGCGGUAUUAGACGGAAUUUCUUCCGCUUAUCCCCCUGCUACGGGCAGGUUUCAUACGUGUUACUCACCCGUGCGCCGGUCGCCGGCGGGCGAAAG
rnacentral:rRNA from 1 species